GGACGGAUCUCUGGAGAGACCAAUGUUGGCGCCGAAGGGGCAAUACGGUGAGUUUGAUGCCGUCAAUCUCUCAGGCAAAAGGACAGAGUAUAAAUU
rnacentral:ncRNA from 2 species